ACUUGAAUUGAAGAGUUUGAUCAUGGCUCAGAUUGAACGCUGGCGGCAGGCUUAACACAUGCAAGUCGAACGGUAGCAGGAGAAAGCUUGCUUUCUUGCUGACGAGUGGCGGACGGGUGAGUAAUGCUUGGGAAUCUGGCCUAUGGAGGGGGGAUAACGACGGGAAACUGUCGCUAAUACCGCGUAUUAUCGGAAGAUGAAAGUGCGGGACUGAGAGGCCGCAUGCCAUAGGAUGAGCCCAAGUGGGAUUAGGUAGUUGGUGGGGUAAAGGCCUACCAAGCCUGCGAUCUCUAGCUGGUCUGAGAGGAUGACCAGCCACACUGGAACUGAGACACGGUCCAGACUCCUACGGGAGGCAGCAGUGGGGAAUAUUGCGCAAUGGGGGGAACCCUGACGCAGCCAUGCCGCGUGAAUGAAGAAGGCCUUAGGGUUGUAAAGUUCUUUCGGUAUUGAGGAAGGUUGAUGUGUUAAUAGCACAUCAAAUUGACGUUAAAUACAGAAGAAGCACCGGCUAACUCCGUGCCAGCAGCCGCGGUAAUACGGAGGGUGCGAGCGUUAAUCGGAAUAACUGGGCGUAAAGGGCACGCAGGCGGUUAUUUAAGUGAGGUGUGAAAGCCC
rnacentral:rRNA from 1 species